UUCCGUAGGGUGAACCUGCGGAGGGAUCAUUACCGGAGGUUUACAACUCCCAAACCCAAUGUGAACGUUACCAAACUGUUGCCUCGGCGGGAUCUCUGCCCCGGGUGCGUCGCAGCCCCGGACCAAGGCGCCCGCCGGAGGACCAACCAAAACUCUUAUUGUAUACCCCCUCGCGGGUUUUUUUAUAAUCUGAGCCUUCUCGGCGCCUCUCGUAGGCGUUUCGAAAAUGAAUCAAAACUUUCAACAACGGAUCUCUUGGUUCUGGCAUCGAUGAAGAACGCAGCGAAAUGCGAUAAGUAAUGUGAAUUGCAGAAUUCAGUGAAUCAUCGAAUCUUUGAACGCACAUUGCGCCCGCCAGUAUUCUGGCGGGCAUGCCUGUCCGAGCGUCAUUUCAACCCUCGAACCCCUCCGGGGGGUCGGCGUUGGGGAUCGGCCCUCCCUUAGCGGGUGGCCGUCUCCGAAAUACAGUGGCGGUCUCGCCGCAGCCUCUCCUGCGCAGUAGUUUGCACACUCGCAUCGGGAGCGCGGCGCGUCCACAGCCGUUAAACACCCAACUUCUGAAAUGUUGACCUCGGAUCAGGUAGGAAUACCCGCUGAACUUAAGCAUAUCAAUAGGCCGGAGGAAA
rnacentral:rRNA from 1 species